UCCGACAGCUUUUGACAUGUCUGAUGAGAAACCAGACGAGUCGGGAGGAAGUCGAUCGGUAUCACAUGACGUCAGCGAGUCUAAGGACCAGCUGGUGACUCAGGAGGGUUCUCAGGAGGGUUCUGUUGCCUGGAGGACCUACCACCAGUACUGUAAAGCUGCAGGAGGGUACAUACUGCUGUCUCUCAUCAUCAUCAUCUUCAUCUGCUUGGUGGG